AUGAUGAGGAACCAGAUAUUGAUCCAUAUGUACAACAGACAUCAACGGGAACCCCUCCGUCAUGCCGUGCUCCAAAAAGGAGGAGACGGGAAGAUGAGGAGGAGGAAGAGGAGGAGGAGGAGGAGGAGGAGGAAGAGGAGGAAGAGGAGGGGGACAAAGAAAAAGAGGACAAAGGAGAGGAGGAGGACAAAGCUGCAGCAAUUGAUGGCAGUGAGGGGGAAGGAGAUGAUGAGGAAGAAGACGAGGAUGCCAAUCCUGAUGAUCAAGAGGGAUCCAAUGGAGGCAGUGACAGCUCCAAUGAUGAUGAUGACAAUGGCCUUGGUUCUGGUGGUACAGGUGACAACACAACCAGGGUGA
rnacentral:rRNA from 1 species